CUAAGUAGGCUUGGAGGCCUGAAGGCACCAGAUUCCAUUUGAUCUUGGAAGUUCAGCAGGGUUAUGUCUGGUUAACAUUUGAAUGGAAAACUGUCAAGAUGUCCCAGGUUACUGUUCUUGU
rnacentral:rRNA from 11 species